UCUCUUAUUCUCUUUAUUAUGAUAUUGGCUAAUAUAUGACUGAUACCUCCUAUUCCCAUACCCCACUAUAUAUCUCACUCUCCACCCAUCCCCCACUAUAUCUCUCAAUCUCCACCCAUCCCUCUCCCCUCCAGUCUCAAUGUAGUGAUGUGGGUCAGUCUGCAGCAGCAGCCCGGGGGUUUGCAUUCAUCUUAAGACAGCUAGGUGAGACAACCACAUAUCACAGUCGUAGUCAGUACACUAUCUCAAUAAAGAAAAUAUCAGCAAAGUCAGUGCUAGAAGGAAAAGACAAGUGCCAGGUUGUUGUCAUUUAUCACCUCCAAUGUCAGGUUCAAACAACUUUUUUAUGAUGCUAUGCCAUUAUUUCUCUCCAUGUUCAGGUUUGUGUGUGGAUCCUGUGCGUGGAGCAGUCAUUUGUGCAGCCUUUGGUAUCUGUGUGAUGCCCAGAUACUGAGAGCACAGUGGGCCCAUGGUCACUAGCAUUGUCUCAGACCCAGUACUUACCUCAGCCUCUUACCUCAAGCCCAGCCCAGGCUUUACCAUAGCCUGUGAGGCUGGAUCCUCUGAGCCCAGAAACACCACCUAACUCUCUUUGCAUGUUCUCGGGUCAGUAUAUAUACUGUACACGUCAUUCACCUUUGUGGCUUGAAAGUCACGCUGUCUUCCUUUAUCAAUUAUUUUCAGGGUUGGCCCAGAUGUUGUUUUGUUACAGAAAGACAAACAGUUGUUAUUUUGAGUGUUUUGUGGCUGUAGCCUAUCUGCAUGUCUUGCUUUGUGAGAAACAGAGAGGCGUUCUUGUGGUUAGUCGAAUGCAUUGUGUUCUUCCGCUGUUAUUCACAGUUUCCCUCAAGCAGUUGAGCCACUGAUUCUGACAACCUUUUAAGGCCCUCCAAUAUAGCUAGCUGUGGACUGAAGAACAAAUCAUUCAAGGAAUGUACUUUAUAACACUCACACCUUGUUGGUAUAAAUGCAAAGUCAUUUGUGAGUUAAAUGUACCUGGUUUGUGUUCUUUUUAUUGGAUUAAUCCAAUAUGUUUUGGUAUGUGUUUAUUGAAUGACUUGUCAAUCAGGACAAGCUGCUCUUUCUCUAUUUACUAAUGGUAAUUAAGAGAUAAUAGACAAGCUUCCAAGAUAUGUAACUUUCAAAACACAGAAAUCUGGCCAUCAUGGAUAAUACGGGCCAGAUUUAUGAUUUUUGAAAGUUACAUAUCUUGAAAACUUGAUUGAUGACAUGCAAUCAACAUAUCAACAAUGUACUAUUGAAACAAAUGGCAAAAUCUAUCGUAUUUGGGUGGAGUUGUCCUUUAAGUGAUCAAAUCAAACUAAAGAGUAAUGUAAGCCCUUAAGGUACUGGAAACAAAUCCUUUCACUGUCUGUCUGCACUACAGCCUAUUUUAUGUGCAAAUGUAGGGAAAGUUGAGUAAAUCACGACAAGCUGCAUCUGUUAACAUCCUGUGUCACAGCAAAGAUCAAAGGUGAAACUGUGAACCUUCUGGAUUAGUUCAGGUCUCCUUCCCUUGUCUUCCAUGUCGGAUCAAACUGUGAACCCUCUGGAUUAGUUCAGGUCUCCUUCCCUUGUCUUCCAUGUUGGAUCAAACUGUGAACCCUCUGGAUUAGUUCAGGUCUCCUUCCCUUGUCUUCCAUGUUGGAUCAAACUGUGAACCCUCUGGAUUAGUUCAGGUCUCCUUCCCUUGUCUUCCAUGUUGGAUCAAACUGUGAACCCUCUGGAUUAGUUCAGGUCUCCUUCCCUUGUCUUCCAUGUUGGAUCAAACUGUGAACCCUCUGGAUUAGUUCAGGUCUCCUUCCCUUGUCUUCCAUGUUGGAUCAAACUGUGAACCCUCUGGAUUAGUUCAGGUCUCCUUCCCUUGUCUUCCAUGUUGGAUCAAACUGUGAACCCUCUGGAUUAGUUCAGGUCUCCUUCCCUUGUCUUCCAUGUUGGAUCAAACUGUGAACCCUCUGGAUUAGUUCAGGUCUCCUUCCCUUGUCUUCCAUGUUGGAUCAAACUGUGAACCCUCUGGAUUAGUUCAGGUCUCCUUCCCCUGUCUUCCAUGCUGGAUCAAACUGUGAACCCUCUGGAUUAGUUCAGGACUCUCUCACUGGUCUUUCAUAUUUGAUCAGCUGGCAGAAUAAUACAACAAACACCAAUGCCUGAAUCACACUACUUACACGAACCUGAACCAUGCUGUCCUGGCUCAGAUAGUUUUUCUUCUUCAAAUUGUCCUUUCCAGCACGGUUCCAGCAACUAUGGUAACCAGGCCAGCACUGUACAGCUCUGCUUGGCUCUGUAGUAUAGAAAAGGGUUUAAUAUAUCUUCAUCUACACUCGUAAGUACCUUCUAACGUUUGGCAGCUUGCCUUGGCUCUGUGUGAAGGCUCAGAGUUGUUUUAAUCAAGUUGGAAAUGAUCUAUGGUGCCUUCAGAAAGUAUUCAUAUCCCUUGACUUAUUCCACAUUUUGUUGUGUUGAAUUCUGAAUUCAAAAUGUAUUAAAUGUAUUUGUUUUUCACCCAUCUACACACAAUAGCCAUAAUGACAAAAUGAAAACAUGUAUUUAGAAAUGUUAGCACAUUUAUUGAAAAUGAAAAGCAGAAAUAUCUCAUUUACAUAAAUAUUUACACCCACGAGUCAAUACAUGUUAGAAUCACCUUUGGCAGCUUUGACUGCUCUGAGUCUUUCUGGGUAAGCUGGUCUUGUCCUUUCCAGCACGGUUCCAGCAACUAUGGUAACCAGGCCAGCACAGUACAGCUCUGUAGUAUAGAAAAGGGUUUAAUAUGUCUUCAUCUACACUCAUAUACUUGGGCGGCAGGUAGCCUAGUGGUUAAAGCAUUGGGCCUGUAACCUGAAAGGUUGCUGGAUCAAAUCCCCGGGCUGACAAGGGAAAAGAUAUGUUGGUCUGCCCAUGAACAAGGCAGUUAACCCACUGUCCCUGGUAGGCUGUCAUUGUAAAUAAGAAUUUGUUCUUAACUGAAUUGCCGAGUUAAAUAAAGCUUUU